UCUUUUUCCAGAAUCUUCAUUACCGAAGUGAUGAGGAUAUAUUUAAGACUACAAAGCAUAUAGUUUGAAAAUUGAAACUAUUCCAGCCACAUUGGUAAUUUGGAAAGUUUGAAUGUCUGAUCAUAUUCCAGAUAAAUUUUUUUUAUAAAGCUUAAGUACUUGCUGUCCAAUGCAACAGGUUCCAGGUGCAAAUAUUGUGAAGAGUGGCUCUAACACUUUUGCCGUUUAUCCCAUAUCCAACACAGACGAACGUUAGCUGGUCUAUCAAAAGAAGAUAUAUGAACAGCUAGACCUGCUCAUGAGCUACUCUUUAUGUGAAUGCUAUCUACGAGCUGGAACUCGAUCUCAUUACGAUGACACAUUAGGCAAAACGUCUGAUUGAACUAUUAAAGCAUCCAAGUUUUCAAAUCAAAGCUUCUAUUCGUCAUGCGUAUACAGGGAUCUGUCAUCAAAGAUUGUUCUUCUUCACGUCUUAUGUAUGUUUUGUGUACUAUUUAUGUUCUCCGAUUCUUUUUGUAAAACUAGACUGAGCCGAUUCUUUAGUGGUGUUUUUGUCAAGGCAAACGAGAGGAUAUUGAAAAUUCUACAGGAAGUGGAGCCGUAUGUGACUUAUGGGUAUCCUGACCUCAACAGUGUCAGCUGAUAUACGGUAAGCCGGUAAGGGAUUGGCAAAGGUUAACAACCAAAUGCAUCCUCAGACGGACAAUAACAUUAUUGAAAAAGAUUGAAUGCUCUUAUUACUGAAUACUGCUGAAAAACCGUUUUUUAGCAAGGUACAUAAAAUUCAGCUUUAUUCCCUGUGUAAAUUUAGAGAUGCAUAUGUUACUCUAAAAAAUUAGUUUUCAUAUGAUGAGAAGGACCCCACAUCUUUUGCAUUACACUAAGUGAGAUUAAUUCCAUGAUGAAUAUUUGAAAGUCAAUGCAAAGAAAUGCCAUCAUGAAGCCUUUUAUCAACUUAUUUCGUAUGUUUUUGACUGAAAUUUGAUGGUAUUUAACCUUAGUUGAUUAAA